GACGAACGCUGGCGGCGUGCUUAACACAUGCCAGUCGAACGGUGAACGAGGGAGCUUGCUCCCUCCGGAUCAGUGGCGAACGGGUGAGUAACACGUGAGCAAUCUGCCCCGAACUCUGGGAUAAGCGUUGGAAACGACGUCUAAUACCGGAUACGACGCGGGAGGGCAUCCUCUCCGCGUGGAAAGAACUUCGGUUCGGGAUGAGCUCGCGGCCUAUCAGCUUGUUGGUGAGGUAACGGCUCUCCAAGGCGACGACGGGUAGCCGGCCUGAGAGGGUGACCGGCCACACUGGGACUGAGACACGGCCCAGACUCCUACGGGAGGCAGCAGUGGGGAAUAUUGCACAAUGGGCGCAAGCCUGAUGCAGCAACGCCGCGUGAGGGACGACGGCCUUCGGGUUGUAAACCUCUUUUAGCAGGGAAGAAGCGAAAGUGACGGUACCUGCAGAAAAAGCACCGGCUAACUACGUG
rnacentral:rRNA from 1 species